ensembl:snRNA U4 U4 spliceosomal RNA
AGCUUUGCGCAAUGGCAGUAUCAUAGCCAAUGAGGUUUAUCCAAGGCGCAAUUAUUGCUAAUUGAAACUAAAACAAUAAGCAUAUAUUUUGUUAAAGUAUAUGCCUUUUGUCCUUAGCUCAAAAUCU